UACAGGGGGUGCAAACGUUGCUCGGAAUUAUUGGGCGUAAAGCGCGCGUAGGCGGCCGCUUAAGUCGGAUGUGAAAGCCCCUGGCUCAACUGGGGAAGUGCACCCGAAACUGAGUGGCUUGAGUACUAAAGAGGGUCGCGGAAUUCCCGGUGUAGAGGUGAAAUUCGUAGAUAUGGGGAGGAACACCGGUGGCGAAGGCGGCCACCUGGCCGGUAACUGACGCUGAGACGCGAAAGCAUGGGGAGCAAACAGG
rnacentral:rRNA from 1 species